AGAAUCAACGCUGGCGGCGUGCCUAACACAUGCAAGUCGAUCGAGAAAGUGGAGCAAUCCAUGAGUAAAGAGGCGCACGGGUGAGUAACACGUGACUAACCUACCUUCGAGUGGGGAAUAACCUGGGGAAACCCGGGCUAAUACCGCAUAAUACCUACGGGUCAAAGGAGCAAUUCGCUUGAAGAGGGGGUCGCGGCAGAUUAGUUAGUUGGCGGGUAAUGGCCCACAAGACGAUGAUCUGUA
rnacentral:rRNA from 1 species